GGACUACAGGGGUAUCUAAUCCUUUUUGCUCCCCACGCUUUCGCAACUCAGAGUCAGGAAGGUCCCAGUGCACUGCCUUCGCCUUUGGUGUUCCCCACGAUAUCAACGGAUUUCACCCCUACACCGUGAGUUCCAUGCACCUCUAACCUCCUCCAGUUCUGCCGUAUCUCCUGCACUUCCAGGGUUAGGCCCUGGGCUUUAACAGAAGACGCGCAAAACCUCCUACGUGCGCUUUACGCCCAAUAAAUCCGGAUAACGCUUGAGGUCUACGUAUUACCGCGGCUGCUGGCAC
rnacentral:rRNA from 1 species